AAACCAACAGGGAUUGCCUCAGUAACGGCGAGUGAAGCGGCAAAAGCUCAAAUUUGAAAUCCCCCCGGGGAGUUGUAAUUUGAAGAUUGCGUCUUGGAGGCGACCGUGUCUAUGUUCCUUGGAACAGGACGUCACAGAGGGUGAGAAUCCCGUGCGGCACGGCCCCCGGCUCCUUAUAAGGCGCUCUCGACGAGUCGAGUUGUUUGGGAAUGCAGCUCAAAGUGGGUGGUAAAUUCCAUCUAAAGCUAAAUACAGGCGAGAGACCGAUAGCGAACAAGUACAGUGAUGGAAAGAUGAAAAGCACUUUGAAAAGAGAGUGAAACAGCACGUGAAAUUGUUGAAAGGGAAGGGCAUGCCGUCAGAUUGUCAGUGUGGGUAAGAAGCGGGGUACAAAGACUGUGGAACGUGGCCCUCGGGUGUUAUAGCCGCAGUUCAUGCC
rnacentral:rRNA from 1 species